rnacentral:tRNA from 1 species
AACAAAUUAAUUGAACUCACAAUAUAAGAUUGUCAAUCUUAAAGCACUUUUAAGUAUUUA